rnacentral:rRNA from 1 species
UUUAAAUUGAGAGUUUGAUCCUGGCUCAGGAUGAACGCUGGUGGCGUGCCUAAUACAUGCAAGUCGUACGCUAGCCGCUGAAUUGAUCCUUCGGGUGAAGUGAGGCAAUGACUAGAGUGGCGAACUGGUGAGUAACACGUAAGAAACCUGCCCUUUAGUGGGGGAUAACAUUUGGAAACAGAUGCUAAUACCGCGUAACAACAAAUCACACAUGUGAUCUGUUUGAAAGGUCCUUUUGGAUCGCUAGAGGAUGGUCUUGCGGCGUAUUAGCUUGUUGGUAGGGUAGAAGCCUACCAAGGCAAUGAUGCGUAGCCGAGUUGAGAGACUGGCCGGCCACAUUGGGACUGAGACACUGCCCAAACUCCUACGGGAGGCUGCAGUAGGGAAUUUUCCGCAAUGCACGAAAGUGUGACGGAGCGACGCCGCGUGUGUGAUGAAGGCUUUCGGGUCGUAAAGCACUGUUGUAAGGGAAGAAUAACUGAAUUCAGAGAAAGUUUUCAGCUUGACGGUACCUUACCAGAAAGGGAUGGCUAAAUACGUGCCAGCAGCCGCGGUAAUACGUAUGUCCCGAGCGUUAUCCGGAUUUAUUGGGCGUAAAGCGAGCGCAGACGGUUUAUUAAGUCUGAUGUGAAAUCCCGAGGCCCAACCUCGGAACUGCAUUGGAAACUGAUUUACUUGAGUGCGAUAGAGGCAAGUGGAACUCCAUGUGUAGCGGUGAAAUGCGUAGAUAUGUGGAAGAACACCAGUGGCGAAAGCGGCUUGCUAGAUCGUAACU